UUUUUUGCUACUGAAAUAAUUCUGUGUUAUUGAAAGAAAAAGUGAAUUAUUGGAAUGAUAAUUGCAGGCUAUUAAUUGCAUGCUCAGGAAGUCAUUGAUGGGGAUGGUCAAUGUCCAUAGAAUCCCAGAAUAUCCUGACUUGGAAGGGAUCCACCAGGAUCAUGCAAGUCCAGCUCCAAACUAACUUUGUGUGUAAAUAAUGACCUUCACUCCUCACCCAUCUGAUCUGAGUUUAUAGAAAAUCCUUGUUGCUGUUUCCAAGAAUCCCUACAGUGUAUUUAACACUUGGCAUGACAGAUAAAACACCCCAAAACAAAGUUGGUUUUCUUAACUGAGUGAAAGUUAUUUUAGCAAGAAAAUAAAUAGGAAGUUUAACACAGUUUCAGUAAAGGACAUUAUCAAAAAUACAGUUCUCUUUCUUCUCCUGGGUUUUUUUUCCUGUAAAGGGAAUAAUGGCAACAAUCAGUUUCAUCCUGGCCUAAAAGGCUUUUAAAAACCCCUCAUUUUCACCACAGAGCCAAAGCAGAAGCACCUGAAACAUUUUAAAGGAAGUACCAAUUCUAACUUGCAGUUUCUUUGUGCUCCCUCCUGCUGUCCCAGGAACCCACCCUUCCCGCUGGGAUGGAGAUGUUCUCGCUGAAUUCCCUCAAAGGAGCUGCUGCCUCUGCACAGGCUUGGCUGGAGGGGCAGGUCCAGCCCAGCUCGUCCCAGGAGCUGCCCAAGCUGGGAGAUGGCUCAGGAGACCCUGCCUGUGCUGGCUAACGCUGCUCUCUGCAGAACAAAGGGUUUUAUUUGAUAACUUUAUUCAUCUUGAACCUCUUCUCAUGGAGCCCAGCCUUUGUAAAACUGAACUGUGCCAUUGUAUUAGUCAAUAUUUUUUACCUUAUUGAAUAUUUCUCUUUCUGAUUUAAAGAAAAAUCAGAAGAAAAACAAAAAUAAAACCCUGAAAAACUUUAAAAACCCCCUUUUG
rnacentral:lncRNA from 1 species